CCUACGGGAGGCUGCAGUGGGGAAUAUUGGACAAUGGGCGAAAGCCUGAUCCAGCCAUGCCGCGUGUGUGAAGAAGGCCUUCGGGUUGUAAAGCACUUUCAGUGGGGAAGAAAGCCUUGGGGCUAAUACCCUCGAGGAAGGACAUCACCCACAGAAGAAGCACCGGCUAACUCCGUGCCAGCAGCCGCGGUAAUACGGAGGGUGCGAGCGUUAAUCGGAAUUACUGGGCGUAAAGCGCGCGUAGGCGGUCUGAUAAGCCGGUUGUGAAAGCCCCGGGCUCAACCUGGGAACGGCAUCCGGAACUGUCAGGCUAGAGUGCAGGAGAGGAAGGUAGAAUUCCCGGUGUAGCGGUGAAAUGCGUAGAGAUCGGGAGGAAUACCAGUGGCGAAGGCGGCCUUCUGGACUGACACUGACGCUGAGGUGCGAAAGCGUGGGUAGCAAACAGGAGUAGAUACCCCGGUAGUC
rnacentral:rRNA from 1 species